rnacentral:rRNA from 1 species
GACGAACGCUGGCGGCGUGCUUAACACAUGCAAGUCGAACGAAGUGGCGGACGGGUGAGUAACGCGUAAUCACCCUGCCCUUCAGAGGGGGACAACAGUUGGAAACAACUGCUAAUGCCGCAUACUGACGGAGUGGAUUGCGUCUGAUUGGCUAGUUGGAGGGGUAACGGCCAACCAAGGCGAUGAUCAGGAGCCGGUCUGAGUGGAUGAACGGCCACAUUGGGACGGAGACACGGCCCAGACUCCUACGGGAGGCAGCAGUGGGGAAUCUUCCGCAAUGGACGAAAGUCUGACGGAGCAACGCCGCGUGAGUGAUGACGGCCUUCGGGUUGUAAAGCUCUGUUAAUCGGGACGCGGUACCGGAAUAGAAAGCCACGGCUAACUACGUGCCAGCAGCCGCGGUAAUAC